rnacentral:misc_RNA from 1 species
UAAUAAGUGUUUUAUGGCACUUUUUAAAUCCAUAUCCACCUUGUGUGCAAUGACGGUCGAUCUUCUUCUAUGAGGAUUGACCAAACAUCAACCUUUAUCUUUUAACUCUUUGUCUGAAAAAUAUUAUGAAUAAACAAUUCAAAAUA